rnacentral:rRNA from 1 species
AUUGAACGCUGGCGGCAGGCCUACCACAUGCAAGUCGAACGAGUGGCGGACGGGUGAGUAAUGUCUGGGAAACUGCCUGAAGGAGGGGGAUAACUACUGGAAACGGUAGCUAAUACCGCAUACCAUCAGAUGUGCCCAGAUGGGAUUAGCUAGUUGGUGGGGUAACGGCUCACCAAGGCGACGAUCCCUAGCUGGUCUGAGAGGAUGACCGGCCACACAGGAAAUGAGACACGGUCCUGAUGCAUACGUGAGGCAGCAGUGGGGAAUAGUGCACAAUGGGCGCAAGCCUGAUGCAGCCAUGCCGGGUGUGUGAAGAAGGCCUUCGGGUUGUAAAGGACGUUCAGCGAGGAGGCGUUACGCGCAGAAGAAGCACCGGCUAACUCCGUGCCAGCAGCCGCGGUAAUAC